UACGGGGGGAGCAAGCGUUGUUCGGAUUUAUUGGGCGUAAGGGGCGCGUAGGCGGUCAGCACAAGUCAGUUGUGAAAUCUCCGGGCUUAACUCGGAACGGUCAACUGAUACUGUGCGGCUAGAGUGCGGAAGGGGCAACUGGAAUUCUUGGUGUAGCGGUGAAAUGCGUAGAUAUCAAGAGGAACACCUGCGGCGAAGGCGGGUUGCUGGGCCGACACUGACGCUGAGGCGCGAAAGCCAGGGGAGCGAACGGG
rnacentral:rRNA from 1 species